rnacentral:rRNA from 1 species
CUGGCGGCUGCCUAAUACUCGCAGUCCAGCGAACAGAUGAAGUGCUUCCACUUCUGACGUUAGCGGCGAACGGGUGAGUAACACGUAAGGAAUCUACUUUUCCCGCGGGGGAAAGAAAACAGAAACGGGUGCUAAUACCGCAUAAUAUCUUCUUCCGCAUGGAAGAAGAUUGAAAGACGGCUCUGCUGUCACUUAUAGAUGACCUUGCGGUGCAUUAGUUAGUUGGUGGGGUAACGGCCUACCAAGACGAUGAUGCAUAGCCGACCUGAGAGGGUGAUCGGCCACAUUGUGACUGAGACACGGCCCAAACUCCUACGGGAGGCAGCAGUAGGGAAUCUUCCUUUAAUGGGCGAAAGCCUGACGGAGCAAUGCCGCGUGAGUGAAGAAGGCCUUCGGGUCGUAAAACUCUGUUGUUAGAGAAGAACAAAUUGUAGAGUAACUGCUACAGUCUUGACCGUAUCUUAUCAGAAAGCCACGGCUAACUACGUGCCAGCAGCCGCGGGUAAUACGUAGGUGGGCAGCCCUGGCCGGAUUUANUGGGCGGUAAAGGGAGCCCAAGUGGCUUUCUUAAGNNCUGAUGNNGAAAGCCCCACGGCCUNNACCNUGGGAGGGCCAUUGGAAACUGGCNAAACNUGANUNNCNGAACANAAAUGNGGNANNUGGAANCGNGGGANUGCGUNNNCUUCNCNNAAGAACACCAGCUNGNNAAGGCUAAUCCGGNCUGCUCCAACAGGAUUAGAUACCCUGGUAGUCCACCCCCGUAAAAGAUGAGUGCUAGGUGUGGGGGGUUUUCCGCCAUUCNGGGCGGCAGUUAANGCNUUAAAACACUCCGCCUGGGGGGUACGCCCCCAAGGUUGAAAUUCAAAGGAAUUGUCGGGGCCCGCCCAACGGGUGGGAGCAUGUGUUUUAAUUUGAAGCAACGCGAAGAACCUUCCCAAGUCUUGACAUCCUUUGACCACCCUAGAGAUAGGGCUUUCCCUUCGGGGACAAAGUGACAGGUGGUGCAUGGUUGUUGUCACCUCGUGUCGUGAGAUGUUGGGUUAAGUCCCNCAACGAGCGCNACCCCUAUUAUUAGUUGCCAGCAUUCAGUUGGGCACUCUAAUGAGACUGCCGGUGACAAACCGGAGGAAGGUGGGGAUGACGUCAAAUCANCAUGCCCCUUAUGACUUGGGCUACACACCUGGUACAAUGGAUGGUACAACGAGUNGCAAACCCNCGAGGGNNAGCAAAUCUNUUAAAACCNUUNUCAGUUCGGANUGCAGGNUGCAACUNNCCUGCANGAANCCGGAAUCGCUAGUAAUCGUGGAUCAGCAUGCCCCGGGGAAUACGUUCCCGGGUCUUGUACACACCCCCCGUCACACCACGAGAGUUUGUAACACCCGAAGUCGGUGAGGUAACCUUUAUGGAGCCAGCCGCCGAAGGUGGACAGAGAUGGGGAG